rnacentral:tRNA from 1 species
AGAUUAGCCGGGCUUACGGGAACUUCUAAUUCCCUUAAGGGGGUUCGACCCCUCCAUAAUCUC